rnacentral:rRNA from 1 species
UACAGAGGUCCCAAGCGUUGUUCGGAUUCAUUGGGCGUAAAGGGUGCGUAGGUGGCGUCGUAAGUCGGGUGUGAAAUCUCGGGGCUUAACUCCGAAACUGCAUUCGAUACUGCGGUGCUUGAGGACUGGAGAGGAGACUGGAAUUACGGUGUAGCAGUGAAAUGCGUAGAGAUCGUAAGGAAGACCAGUGGCGAAGGCGGGUCUCUGGAAAGUUCCUGACACUGAGGCACGAAGGCCAGGGGAGCAAACGGG